rnacentral:lncRNA from 1 species
GGAAUUGAUGUUGAUGCUGAAAAUUGUGCAGUGUGUAUUGAAAAUUUCAAAGUAAAGGAUAUUAUUAGAAUUCUGCCAUGCAAGCAUAUUUUUCAUAGAAUAUGCAUUGACCCAUGGCUUUUGGAUCACCGAACAUGUCCAAUGUGUAAACUUGAUGUCAUCAAAGCCCUAGGAUAUUGGGGAGAGCCUGGGGAUGUACAGGAGAUGCCUGCUCCAGAAUCUCCUCCUGGAAGGGAUCCAGCUGCAAAUUUGAGUCUAGCUUUACCAGAUGAUGACGGAAGUGAUGACAGCAGUCCACCAUCAGCCUCCCCUGCUGAAUCUGAGCCACAGUGUGAUCCCAGCUUUAAAGGAGAUGCAGGAGAAAAUACGGCAUUGCUAGAAGCCGGCAGGAGUGACUCUCGGCAUGGAGGACCCAUCUCCUAGCACACGUGCCCACUGAAGUGGCACCAACAGAAGUUUGGCUUGAACUAAAGGACAUUUUAUUUUUUUUACUUUAGCACAUAAUUUGUAUAUUUGAAAAUAAUGUAUAUUAUUUUACCUAUUAGAUUCUGAUUUGAUAUACAAAGGACUAAGAUAUUUUCUUCUUGAAGAGACUUUUCGAUUAGUCCUCAUAUAUUUAUCUACUAAAAUAGAGUGUUUACCAUGAACAGUGUGUUGCUUCAGACUAUUACAAAGACAACUGGGGCAGGUACUCUAAUAUAAAGGACAGGUGGUGUUUCUAAAUAAUUGGCUGCUAUGGUUCUGUAAAAACCAGUUAAUUCUAUUUUUCAAGGUUUUUGGCAAAGCACAUCAAUGUUAGACUAGUUGAAGUGGAAUUGUAUAAUUCAAUUCGAUAAUUGAUCUCAUGGGCUUUCCCUGGAGGAAAGGUUUUUUUUGUUGUUUUUUUUUUAAGAACUUGAAACUUGUAAACUGAGAUGUCUGUAGCUUUUUUGCCCAUCUGUAGUGUAUGUGAAGAUUUCAAAACCUGAGAGCACUUUUUCUUUGUUUAGAAUUAUGAGAAAGGCACUAGAUGACUUUAGGAUUUGCAUUUUUCCCUUUAUUGCCUCAUUUCUUGUGACGCCUUGUUGGGGAGGGAAAUCUGUUUAUUUUUUCCUACAAAUAAAAAGCUAAGAUUCUAUAUCGCACAUGAGCAUUAAGUUCUUCAUUGCCUUGUUAAGGAAAAUGAGUAGGCAGACUCAGAAUCUGUUAUAUUGAUUUCAGUUACAAUUUAAUCUUUACAAUUAAAAGGGCGAAAGAUGUAGAAUUUUAGUUUUUGUUGUUGACUCGAAAUAACCAGUUUUCUUGAUUAGAGUUUAAGCAGAUUUAAUACCAUGACCUUGCUUAACCGUUUCUUCUUUUUUACUUGCUUGCUGUUCUUUUGGGUCAAAGGAGCAGGCUAAUGCAAAGCUUUUGGAGACUGCUAAGUGUUAAAAAGUGAUUAAACACACACUCUGCUAUUUUUUCACUUCUUGGAGGUAGAAGUCGAGUAUGAGGCAGUUAUUUUUUAGAGUGUGGAAUUAUAGUCUUUCCUUGCUCCUAGUUAUUCUGUAUAUCUUUACUUUGUAGGUAAAAAUAAAUGUUUAUUUAAAACAAUUUUUAAAAUUAUAAAUUUAUUUUUAUAGCCAUAUGUAGGAUAUAAAGAUUUAUAUAGAUUAUUUUCUCAAGCUACUUAAUGCUUUAAUUCUAGCUACUCAUCAUGAAAUAGUAAACAGUUUUACUGAAAUAAACUCUACAGACAGAUGCAGUAUGAGGAGCUAUUGAAGUAGAAAAUGUAUUUCGCUUUGCACACUGAGUUGGUUUUAGCAGACAACCUCAAGUAGGUUUCCAUAACAGCCAUUACCUUUGAAAUCUACCUUCUGUAGUUUAUUAUAAAUAGGAAAAUACAUCCUGAUUCUGUAGCAAGUAGAUUGUUUGCUCUUUGUCUUUAAGAAAUACUAGGAGGGCCGGGCGCGGUGGCUCACGCCUGUAAUCCCAGCACUUUGGGAGGCCGAGGCGGGCGGAUCACGAGGUCAGGAGAUCGAGACCAUCCCGGCUAAAACGGUGAAACCCCGUCUCUACU